GUCACCCGCGGGCCCCCUCUCACGCCCUACCGGCCCAGGACUCCCAAAGAAAUCCAACGCCGUCUCCUCAUCCCCUCCUGCUGGGCCUCCGACCAAUGAUUCCUCACGGCGGGCACUCGGGGAGCAAGCGUAACCUGGGAGGACUUGCCUCGAGAGCCGUUUACAACGUUAAUAAUUAUUGAGGACACCAAAGAACUUCCCUUUUUGACACUGUCCCCAGCUGUUUGCACCAGCAAAAUGGAGAGGCCCAGGGUACAAGUAGAAGCAUUUGGUGGCUGCAGGUCAGGGCAGAAAAGCACCAAAGGCCACGUGAAUGUAACUUCCUGGCCAAGGGUGAAUGAAGAAGUUUCCUUACAGCGGAUUGGAAACCACCCACCCACCAACCGGAUCCAAGAUAUGCCAGUUCAUUCAUGCAGUUUUCUUUCAUUCAACUACUAUCUGAAAUUCAAGCAACUUCACUCGACAAUAUCAGCCUUUUAGUUUUGCUUGAGCUUGAAUGAUCACAGUCCCAAUGACAUUUCACCUGUGUUCCUGCGUGCCAGCAGCUGCUGGUGCCAACUGAGCUUGGCCCAUUUUUGCUACUAUGCCCUCUCCAGUCCUCCCCUUCCCCAACACACACAUACACGCACACCAAGAUGGCCACUCCCAGAGCACCUGCCUCACCUGUGUGCUUGUCUGUCAGAACCUGUAACCCCUGGCUCUGACACACCAAAAUGAGGGAGUUGGUGUGUGCGUUUGUUGCUACUGCAAAUAGGACGAUGAGUCAGACAAGGUGCUUGGCCUGGUGGAGCUUCUGGGUGGCGACCCUGCGUUCCACACUUCCUGGCUUCCAGAGCUGCAGGCCUGGAUGUGGUCUGGGAGGAGUAGCGCAGGGUCAACGGUGGCAUGUUGCUGGACCAAGAAGGGCAGGUGCACCACACUGGGAGUACAACUGACAAAAUCCCUGUCCUUGUGCAGCUCCCAUUCUAGCUAAUAAAGAGACCACAGCAAAACCCACAUGUUAGGAAGUAUGCUGUAUGUUACAAAGUAUGUUGUAAAGUGUUACUAGUUACUCCAACAAGAACUCAAGAAACAGUAACCAAGGACCAUGUAACUACCAGGAUGGAUACUCCAUGCUCUGUGAGGAACUUACAAAGAAAGAGAGAGGAAAAACCCAAAACUUGUUUGAAUUGACAUGGAGGAGACAAAAUCGUCCAGACACGACCCAGCUUAAUUUAGAGUCUGUCAUAAAAAGCAAAAAAUGAGCUCUUUGCAUCAUAGCAUGGCAGUGUGUGCAACGGCAACACUAGGUUGCCAGUGCUAAGACUUCCGUGCCGACACCGCCUGAGCCAUCCUGAGUGGGGGCCAGGAGCCACCCGUCCCAUCUCUCAGUCAUUUGGUUUAGUGCCUGCAGGGGGCGCCCAAGGAUCGCAGCAGUGCUCCCCAGGCUCCCCAGGCACUGAAGUCUGAUCAUAAUAUUUUGUCUUCGUUGGAAUCUUCUUGUGCUGGGUAAUGCUAAAUGUGUCCAUUUGUAUUUAGCUCAACAGUUUGGCAAAUUUGUUUGCCAUGACCUUGUUUUAAAUUAUUUACUGUCUUCCUGUUGUGCUUAGGGUAUAAUCUUAAGUUCCUACCCACAGCGUAGCCUCCCUCUCUGACCUGGUUUCACACCAUCCUCCCCUGCCCUCCCUGUGACCCGUCCUCUGGGGCACCCACUCCUGCCUCAGGGGCUUGACUCUCGAUUCUGCUACCCAGGAUCCCCCUAUCCUGUUGUGCACCUCGCUAAGUUCUACUCCCCCUCAAGACACCCUCCUGGUCACUCCACCAAGGAAGCUGCUGUGACCUGACGUAUUCCCCACAUGCAUAUGUGGAAACAGAGCUGCCGGUGUGAUGGUGUAGGGGCUGGGGUCUGAAGAGGCAGCCACAGCUGGAGGCAGAGCCUCAUGUAUGGAUUCAGGGCCCUAAUAAUGUUAGGGGUGAAAUGGUGGUGGAGAAAGAUGACCUCGAUUCUUUGGCUCACAUGAAAUAAGAAUUCCCACGCAGAUGAGACAGAGAGAAAAGCAAGAUUUAUUUAAGUCAGAAACCUCCUGCCACAGUGAUCAAAGGCUGGUGGAUGUGGGGUUUUCAAGCACAAGUUUUGGAAAGCUAAGGAUCAGUUAGAAGGCAGGGACAAAACCCAUCAAAAGGCUGGAUUUGUAAUCAUAUUUGCCCGGUCUAGCUUGCUCAUGAUAAGACAAAAAAGAAGGUGAAGGAGAAGAAGAAGGGUAAGAUCUGUUUUCAUGAUAAACUGAGAAUUCAGAAGGGUGCAAUCCCCACUUCCUUGCUAUUCUCAUGAUAAACUGGAAGCUGGCAAGGAGUGACAGGCACUUUUGUCUUGCUAAAGGAAGCUCUUGGGGUGCAAUGGAAUUUGGCACCUUGAUCUUGCUAAAGAUCACUUUUUUGGGGGGAAGCAAGCAUUUUGCACCAUCUCAAAGAGAUCUCCCUUUCCUCAUCACUGGGCCCCGCCUGACUCCUCUCAGUAGCAGGGUCGAGGGAGAAGGUCAGUUCUCUCCUCUGGAGGGCAAGGCACCAAGGCACCAUCCAGGAAAGAACAGUGGGGCCUCUCAUCAGGCACCAAUCCUGACACCUUUAUGUUGGACUUGCAAAUCUCAGAACUCUGAGGAAAAAAAUCCAUUGUUCCAGAUGACCCCGUUGUAGCAACACAGACGAGGACAGAUGUUCCUUAAACACGGCCACCACCCAAACAAGAACAGCCUCCAGUCCCCAUACCAACUUUUUUUUUUUUUUUGACAGGCAGAGUGGACAGUGAGAGAGAGAGAGAGAGAAAGGUCUUCCUUUGCCGUUGGUUCACCCUCCAAUGGCCGCCGCGGCCUGCGCGCUGCGGCCGGCGCACCGCGCUGAUCCGAUGGCAGGAGCCAGGAGCCAGGUGCUUUUCCUGGUCUCCCACGGGGUGCAGGGCCCAAGCACCUGGGCCAUCCUCCACUGCACUCCCUGGCCACAGCAGAGGGCUGGCCUGGAAGAGGGGCAACUGGGACAGAAUCCGGCGCCCCGACCGGGACUAGAACCCGGUGUGCCGGCGCCGCUAGGCGGAGGAUUAGCCUAGUGAGCCGCGGCGCCGGCCUCCCAUACCAACUUUCUAGCCCUUGCUGGUACCUUGCCUUGAAUCCUGACUCCCCAUUAAAGUGAGAGCACCAAGGGAAACAAACCAAGCCUGUGUUCUCCAUCCCCAUAAUCUUGGCACCAACAGGGAAGUCAACACAUAAAUAAAUGCUUGCAUGCAGGAGUUGUUACCGGCAAGAGACCAAAGAAACCAAAAGGCGCUGGAGGCUUUGGGGAGGAAAGACACACAGUUAAUUUAUGCAUGCCAGCUUGACUAAUGUCUCAAGAAUCAAGCCCCAUCUGAUCCUUUGUUUCCCUACUUUUAUACCCUAAAUUGCCAAGGCAGUCAGUCAGGAGGCAGUUUCGGGGUGGGGGACACACUGUUACCUUAGACCCUCAGUGAUUAACAAAUCACAACUGCACGGUAAGAUGGUUUCAGGAUACAGGAACUUAAAGGCAGUUUCAGGAGGCACACAGCUAUCUGAGGUGUGGGACUAGGCAGGCAGGCCAGGCGGGGAAUUGGUUUCUAAAGUCAGUAUUGGUUUGCUGAGCCCUUGAUAUCAAGCAGGAGAGAGUCUAGCAUUCCCUCGAGCUUGCUCCUUGAACGUCCUGCAGGAGAGGUCUGCACCAGAGUGACUCCUGCGUACUCAGAGAUGAGUGUGCUGACAUGUAACGCCAUGCGGCUGCCGCUGAGUCCACUCGGUCACGAUGCACCGGGGUCCAUAAAAGUCUUCCUUUCCCUGUGGUUGUUAUGUAAGCUCUGAACCCACGAGGACACACUGCCUGAACAACCUUCUGUUAUUCUCCAGGUGGCGCUGUGACCCCAGAAUCUGAUAUUUUCUUCUUCGCUCUGCAAUUCCUUAAUGGUCUGCACUCUGCAGGGCAAGAUGGUCCGGAACCCAAAAAACCUCCACUCUGUCUCUGGGCCAACAACGCAAGCAUCUGUUGGUAGUUUUAGUUACCAGUUUAAUUUUUAGUAGGCAAGAAGUGCAACAUUUUUUUUUCAAAGACGUCCCGUAUAAACAACUGUCUAAACCUUUAUAAAAAGGACCAUUAGCUGCCCUGUUCAUUUAUAGCAUUUUGGAUAUUGAAGAAGGUGUUACCACUUGUUAUAAGUAACAGAGCAUAUCUUUGAAUUGAAAUAUAAAUUCCCUCAUGUGAUCCGUUUACCAAGGUGUCAUACAGACCCUCGUGUGCACUUAGCACUGAGCGGCAGCCCGUCGGGCAGGUGACGGGCAGGAAAGGACCAGUUAUGCUGUGACCGGUCACUAUCUGUUGAACACUUUCCUCCAUCUUUGGAGACAUUUCUGGGUCAUCCUCCUACCUCUCCACUCUAGAAGUCAAAAUGCAAUCAUCAGCUUCCAUGCAAGCCCAGGUCAGGCCGCUCAGAUUCACCUGUGCGCGUCUCUGGUGUGAAAGAGAACAAGACAAGAGAAGCAGGUGCCACAGAGAAUCCCAGGAUCCCUUCCUGGGGAGAGGGCAGCAGUGGGGGUGGGGGUGGGGGACCUGAAGCUCCCUGAAGCAUUGCAACACCUGGCCUCAGUGCCUGGGGCCCGGAGGGCUGGGGCCGGAGCCACCAGUCAUCAGACAAGGAGUUUGCGUUUACUGCAAAGACACUGCUUCUCCACAAUUCCUCUGCUGAAUUCAGCUGGAGGGUAUUUUAUGUUGCU